UAAUUUUACCACAUGGUUUAUUUCAGAAGAAAACAAGCACCAGUUAACAUAGUUCUCCUGCAAGUCAGUAAACAGUCACACACAAAAACUCAAUACAAUUCGCUUCUUUGUUUAUGUGCAGGAUAUUUAGUUUGGUUUGCAAAGUAUUAGAAGAAUAAUAAGAACCUCCUGACAGAAUACCACAACUAAAUUUCUAAAAAGCCACUCAGUUAAUCUCAGUGUUGAAUCUGGCUGUUUCAAAUUAUUGUAAUGUAUAAUAACAGUCUUAUUGACAAUAUGGAUGCACAGAGCCAAAAAAAGCUAGAAAUAGUGGCCAAAAUGAUGAACUAAGUGCCAGCCCAAAUGACAACAAACAUAUGGCCAUUAACUGAAGAAUGGAGGGGUUUAGGAAUGCAGCUGUCUGUGGUCUCCUAAAGUUCCAGAGGAAUGAAACGCUGUGAGGAUUGGCAAAGUCUGGAUGAGAAGCCCUACUGAAGAUGGUAAGUCCUAAAAUGGAGUCAACCAGCAGACCAUGCUGGAAUUCAGAGAUUUCUGUGGUCAGAAUAUAUUCAUUCCAUUGGCCUCAUAAUGUACAUCAACAAAUUAAUAUUGUAUGGAUGUCAUUUCAAAGCCUACUGAAGACGAAGAGCCAUUACUGAAGCCAUUAGAGCACAGAUGGUUCAAACUAUAUGCAGAUAUUCAUACUUGCAUUUCUGCAUUAUAGCAGUUUUUUUUUCUGUUGAACUGUAAUGAAUUGUCUCAUAAUCUAUUCCAUCUUCUUGCCAUUAGCAGGCUUUGAAUGUUCACAAAUAGGAGCAAAGAACUCAUUUUCCAGAGCUUUAAUCACACAAAGAGGGAAUGCCUAAUUCUCUAAAUGAAAUGGUCUGUGAUCACUGAAGCAGAGAUUUAAUAUAUCACGGCAAAUUAGGUAGAUUUUAAUAAAUUACUUAUCUCUCUGAAUACUUUACAUAUGCUUAUGAAGAAACAUAGCCUGUUUGCAAACAGUGGAAAUCCACAGUCUAUAACAUCCUUUGAAGAAAAUGACAAAUAAAAAAGUAAAUUAAAAAAUGAAAUGUAUUAUAUCCUCGUUCUCAAGAGACAAUCCUUUUGCAGCAUUGAUUCACAGCUCCAUUAAAAAUAUCAAUUAAAUCCUUCACUGAGAUUGGUUAAAAGCUGUAAAAUUAACUUUCCGCACUAGACAGUAGUAAUUCUGAUACAACAGUUUAUUGUAUAUGUUUGAUGUAAGUUCUAAAAGUGACAAAACCCAAAUCAAAACAGUUGCACAUCCCCAAAUCCCAAAGUAGGUGAAGCAAAAUCUGAUACUCUGUGGCUUCUUUUUGUGCUUUGACAGAUGUUGGCUGCAAGUAAAUCAUCUACUGUACAGAAAAUGAUUGCGCAUGCCCUCCCCCUAACUUCAAAUUAUGGUAACCAUAAACAGCUGAUUAUAAUGUUAGUAGAAGGGUAAAAGUUAUUAAAAAAAGGGGUGCAGUAAUUUAAUAAGUCCUGCAACUAGCCUAAUUUUUUAUAUUUAAUUGAUAGGAACUGCAUGCAUCAAAGAAAACACAUACUGAGAUUUAAUGUGCAUAAAAUGGAUAUUAGCAUUUUAAAGAGGCAGAUUAACACAUUAAUCCAAGUAAUUUUCAUAUAUUGCUUUUAAUAAAAUCUUCACAGUAUAAAAUUCUUAAUGAGGCUAAUCACAGGCAUUCCAUUUAACGGGGUGAUUAGGGAUAACAUAAAAGUAUUUUUAAUCAGUUUUCUAAGGCUUAUGGUUUUUUUAUUAAAAAUUAAAAUUUUGACUUGCAUUUUUAUUACUGUUUUAUGUAGGAAAAAAAUCUUAAAAAUGCAAAUAAAGCACGUAGUUCAAUCAUGUAGGUAUUAAUUAUUUAAAAGACGUUGUCCAUUGUGGAGAUAUUCUUAGCCUUAGGGGGGAAAUAUAAAAACAAACAGACUGAAAAGUAUACAAAACUUUACAACUACAAAUCAAGCAUCCUUUUCAUAUAAAUUAUACAUUAAAUAUACUGCAGGAAUUACAAAGAUCUCAUCUUUGAUGCACUAUCAAGCAUGUAUUUACACUGGGAGAAGGUUCUUCUGUAGGCAAACUUCCUUUCAUGCCUCAUAGUCAUCUUUGCAUUCCCCUCUCGACUGAGGGCAGCGCAUGGAGGGCUUCCACUGCUCCUUUGAGCUUUCCAAUUACUGCACUGUCAUCCUGUGAAUCAAAAACUAGAAAGGAAACAUUACAAAACAGCAUUAGCAAUUUCAUUUAAGGUUUCACUUUUGUUCUGAUAAUCUUCCUUAGCAUUUGGACAGAUUAAAGGGCUCCUAGUAUACAUUAAAAAAAAAAAAAGAGGUAAAGAAAUAAUAAAGAAAGCUUACUUUUCAGGUACUCAGCCUACUGGAAAUUAAGCACCCUAAAAACUAGAAUGUACAUUAAUAGAAGUAUCAGAGAUGGAAUUAACUCUGAAAUAAAGAACAAUAUUUGUAUAAUAACUGCAUACAUAAAUUAGCUAUUUUUCACAAUGUGUAAAUAAAGGUGUUCCAAGCUCCAUUGAAAACAUAUAUGCAUAAUCAGAAAUCAUUUUAAGUAAAAAAUAUACCGAUUAAUGCAUUUUUAGUACUCUGUGUGUAUGAUGGGUCCAAGUCAGCCUGGACAAUUAUUAGUAUUUUUUCUUUACAGUUUGUGCAAUGCAAAAUUAUUUAAAUUCCAAGCUACUGUGAAAUAGUGAAGUAUGAGCAAAGAUGAUAAUUCCCCUAGACUAAACUAACUACCUUCAUCUUUGUGUAUGUGGGUUUUAAAGUACUAUUUAAAAUGUCUAUGUUACAGAAAUUAGCUGACAUGAUUUAAAAUUGCACUCUUUCACAAUAUCUAAGUAAGCCCAGAGGGCCAGAAUCUCUGCUGCUGUGAUUAAAACAUGCUGCUAAGUCAAAAAAGAGGCUCUUUCACAGUCCUGCACAAAAAGCAAUGAGGCUGCCUAACAUGGCUCUAGAAGGAAUUUGAAUAAAAACAAAUAAUCUUGACAGCAUAUCUUUUCAAAGCAAAUUACACAGCUGACAAAUAGCAAGGUUAUGUAUUUACUUUAAUAAUUAGGAUAAGUACUCUGGGACAUGCAAUGAUGCUCCAUGCUGCAACUUCUAGGCUUCUGGGACAGCUCAGAAGAGGUUUAGAGAAGGGAAAACACAGGAUAAACCUUCCAUCACUUACCCUAUAGAAAGACCUAUUAUAGGACAGACUGGAUGCUAUUCUUAGAGUUCCAAAGCAACUUCAGAGCAGACUUCAGAGGACAGUAUUGGUUUUACUUAAGAACAACAGGAUAACUACAAUUAAUGAUAUCAAAACAUUAACUCUAUUUUACCAGUUUUCAUAGUCAUAUUAUCUCUGAGACUUAUUGUUAGAUGUCUUGACUAUACAGUCUCUUUUUUAUCCAUCCUCUUGCUAAGUCAUGCACUUAGUUGCUUCAGAUUUCAUGGAGGCC
rnacentral:lncRNA from 1 species